rnacentral:rRNA from 1 species
CAUCGCCGCGGUAAUACGGAGGGUGCAAGCGUUAAUCGGAAUUACUGGGCGUAAAGCGCACGCAGGCGGUCUGACAAGUCAGAUGUGAAAUCCCCGGGCUUAACCUGGGAACUGCAUUUGAAACUGUCAGGCUGGAGUCUUGUAGAGGGGGGUGGAAUUCCAGGUGUAGCGGUGAAAUGCGUAGAGAUCUGGAGGAAUACCGGUGGCGAAGGCGGCCCCCUGGACAAAGACUGACGCUCAGGUGCGAAAGCGUGGGGAGCAAACAGGAUUAGAGACCCGUGUAGUCCCUGUCUCUUAUACA